rnacentral:rRNA from 1 species
GGAAUUCGCCCUUAGAGUUUGAUCCUGGCUCAGGAUGAACGCUGGCGGCGUGCUUAACACAUGCAAGUCGAACGGGGGUCAUAUGAUGGAAGUCUUCGGAUGGAAGUGGUGUGACUCUAGUGGCGGACGGGUGAGUAACACGUGAGCAACCUGCCUUUUGCUGGGGAAUAACUGUGGGAAACCAUGGCUAAUACCGCAUAUUGUACUGACUGGGCAUCCGGUUGGUAUGAAAGGAGAAAUCCGGCAGAAGAUGGGCUCGCGUCCGAUUAGGUAGUUGGUGGGGUAACGGCUCACCAAGCCGACGAUCGGUAGCCGGACUGAGAGGUCGAACGGCCACAUUGGGACUGAGAUACGGCCCAGACUCCUACGGGAGGCAGCAGUGGGGAAUAUUGGGCAAUGGGGGAAACCCUGACCCAGCGACGCCGCGUGAAGGACGAAGGCUUUCGGGUUGUAAACUUCUUUGGGGAGGGACGAAAUUGACGGUACCUCCAGAACAAGCCACGGCUAACUACGUGCCAGCAGCCGCGGUAAUACGUAGGUGGCAAGCGUUAUCCGGAUUUACUGGGUGUAAAGGGCGCGCAGGCGGUUCUGAAAGUCAGAUGUGAAAGAUCAAGGCUUAACUUUGACAGGUCAUCUGAAACUUUGGGACUUGAGUAUCAGAGGGGAAAGUGGAAUUCCUGGUGGAGCGGUAAAAUGCGCAGAGAUCAGGAGGAACACCGGUGGCGAAGGCGACUUUCUGGCUGACAACUGACGCUGAGGCGCGAAAGCGUGGGGAGCAAACAAGAUUAGAUACCCUGGUAGUCCACGCCGUAAAC